GAUGAAGAACGUAGUGAAAUGCGAUAAGUAGUGUGAAUUGCAGAAUUCAGUGAAUCAUCGAAUCUUUGAACGCACAUUGCGCCUUCUAGUAUUCUGGGAGGCAUGCCUGUUUGAGCGCCAUUAAACCUCUCUCAAGUAUGAUUACUUGGAUGUGAAGGAAGAGUACCUUAAACUUAAGGAGUGUUCUCCUUUGAAAUUGAUUAGCAGAUGGUAAUGUUAUUAAAUCCCUGAUGUUGUAAGAAAUAACAGUGGUUUUGUAGACUAUUAUCUAGCUUUAAAUUAUAAUUUUUAUUAUGGUUGACCUCAAAUCAGGUAAGGAUACCCGCUGAACUUAAGCAUAUCAUAAGCGGAGGA
rnacentral:misc_RNA from 1 species